AAUGCAUCAGCCGUGAAUGCCCUGCGAGGUGGGUUUUUUCAAAGGGGAUUCAUGAUCCCGACCCAGUUCCUCAACCUCCCGAUUUUCAUCUCCCUCCUGAAGAAAGCGGAAGAGGAGUUCGGAUUCUAGACGUGCGGUAGCCUGGUUUUUCCCUGCAAGGUGGGUUUUUUCAAAGGGGUUUUGAAGAUUCCCGAUAUGAUGUGCAUUUUGUUUCCAUUUUCUAUAGUAUUUAAGCUGGUUUCUUUUUUGUUUCACCUACAGAUUUUUUUUGAUAGAUGAACAACUUGCUUGCUAUUAUGGAUUCCCAAGAUGCCAUGGGGUUGUCAAUGACAUUGAAGCAGAGGAACCUGCCAUCUGACUAUACCUUUUGUUGAUAUUGUAAGAGAGUAAAUUAGAGAUGGUUUUGCGUAUCUAUUCUUGAACUUGAAAUACAGACAUACGGGUUCUGUUGCUGUAGGAAACCAUGGGAUUCCGGUCAUUGUUGCCCGGCAUUGUUUUGGGAAUGCAAAUAGCAUGGCUCCUCAUGCACAGAUCUAUUCCUAUUUCUCUACUUUCUAGUUGCAGCAAAAAAUAGUUGGAAAGGUUCAUUUCCUCUCUCCAUGUGCAUGUUGCCUCUCUUCUUCAACAUAUGGUUGGAUCAGUUGGUACGUUCAAAAUUUUUAAUUUAUUGGAAUUUUUUUUCCUUAUAUGCACCUAUUUAAUACUUAUCUUUUUUGUAGAUUUUAAUUGCAUUCAUGUUGUUUUAAGAGUAGUGUUUCUUGUUUACAGAUUUUACAUUCCCAUUUGUAGUUGUACAAGGACAAACAUUAUAUUCCACAAUGGGACCCAUGGUUCUGUAAUCUAGACCAUUGGCCUAUUGCAUCGAACUGCAGAUUGAUGAAGGCCUGAAAUUCUCCGUGAUGGGAAACUCACAGGCACCAAUCUUUGGAUAAAUUUCAUUUGGAUGGAGACCAGCACUCUAAUUUUCAACCAAAAUGUACUUGUUUUUUGCCACAAUCAAAAGGCUAGAAUUGUCCCAGCUAAAAGAAUUUAAUACUCUACACAAGGAAGAAUGUAACAGACCAAUGGUCAGGACUGCCUAUUUGGCUUCGUGGAAAUAGAAAUGAAGGAAACAACGUUUCGUAAAAUGCCAUUUAUAAAUGUUGAGAAAGGUAAAAUAGUUUGUUUUAAGGCCAGUUUGAAUAAAUUGCAGAUUGGAGAAUGCAACUAGUUUGCAUCAACAAGGAAUUUAUACCUAUUUGGGAAGCAAUUGCAUUUGCCGGCUGUAUUCUCGUUCCUUUUAUGCAGAGAAGGAUUGUUGGUCUUCAUCAGAAUACAUCAGUUGGAUCAACUGACAUAAUUGGAUGUUUUCCUUUUUAAAAAAAAAUAAAAAUAAAUCUUUUUUCUUCACCUUGAGCUUGGAGGAAGAUUAUACUGUGGUUUUGACCAAAUCUAUAUGCCUAUUUUCAUAUCCAAAUACAAAAUUCAAGGGCGUUUGAUGAAUCUGAGUUGAAUGGAUCACUUUGGGAAUUGGGAAAAACAUGCAAGACAGAUAAAUAAUCAUUUUUUGUUUUUUGGGUUUCUUCUUUUGUUUUGUAUUUUCAAUGUAAUGGGCCCCAAUUAACCCAAUCAUAUUUGAUGCGUGUUCUAUUAGGGCCCAUUUGGAUGAUUUUCCUGUUAUUCAUGUUUUAACGCCUUUUUUCCACUGAUUUUUUUUAAUCAAUUUUUCCUUAUCUUUUUUAUUUUUAUUGUAAAUGAUACAUGAUUAGGUUGCUUGUGCUCAUGCUUGGAGGAGUAAGGAAAGAAAAGUUGAUUCAGGCAUCUUUGGACAUUUUUGGGCAUUUUGUGCCUUUAUUAUUAUUAUUAUUAUUAUUAUUAUUAUUAUUAUUAUUAUUAUUAUUGUGGUUUACUCUUUAUCCUAAUUAGGUUGCUUGUGCUCAUGCUUGAAAUUAUUAUAAGCAUGUUUUUUUACUAGAACAUGUAUGUAACUUGUUUAUAUAUAAGCAUGUAUUUAUUGUCUUUUUUAAAAUUUGGUUUUUUUUUUUCCAUUUUUUCAUUUCUUUUUGCUGUUUAAGGUCAGGCAGGUCAGGCUAAUAGAAACCAUUAAUGCCCCAUCAAAUGUAUGCCACAAAAUACGAAUGAUACACAUGUUUUCCUUUUUUACUACAUAUAAAUGUGCGUGUCUUUUUACCAUAGAAACCAUCAGAAAUAGCUAUUUACUACAUAUAAAUGGGAUUGAAUGCCUACCGUUGACAAUCAUUUGGGGAAGCAAUUGGUAGCUUAUUGUAGGUCUAAUGCAAUGUGUUUCAAGGUGUAGCAGGCGAAGUUGCUUUGACUUCAGGUGGUGGAUUGAAGAAGCUAUCUUUAUUAACUGAUAACUAUAAAGAGGUUGCAAUGGUAAAUCAUUUAUACCAACUCUCUUACCUGAUAUUCUCCCAAUUUCCAUUUUCUUUUAUGCUUAUUUCUUACCACAUUAAUGCCAAUGUUUUACUCAAACUCUCUAAGUGCAUCAUAAGAAUACAAUUCCAUGAAUGUAAAGUGGGCCAAGCACAGGUUAAGGUUUGACCCAUUUUCUAUUUAAGGCAGAGUGGAAAACAUAACCUGCCUUUAUGCAGGCUGUCAUUUCCCACUUUUGAUGCUAUAAAUCAUAGCUGAGGUAAGAACACGAAGGUCCUAUUCUUAUCUCACUUGUGAGUUGGACACAACCACCUGUCAUGAGAUAUUGAUGGGUUAAUUGACAUUGGAGUACUUAUUCCAAUGCAAUUAGUAGUAGUCCUUGUGUUUUGCAUGAGUUGGACAUAGCACACCUAUAUAUAUUGAUUUUUAUUUAUGUUUUAUUUUAUUUCUAGCUUUCUUUUUUAAGAAAAAUCUUGAUUUGGAAUUUCUUUUUCUUUAGAAUAAAAUUUUGAGUUUGUAGUAAAUUUCAGAAGCAGAACUGAUCCGUGCCCAAAAUUAGCUAGGGUGGUAACUGACCGAACAUCAGGAUAUUUGAAGGGCUUUGGGUUUGUCACAUGCCCUAUGAUUGAAGAGAUGGAGCAGGGCAUAAAGGGAAUGGAUGGUCUGGUAAUUGCUCAUUGCCUAGGGGCUGCAAUGUUCCUCAUUACUUUCAGAUGUGUUGCACUAG